UACGAAGGGGGCGAGCGUUGUUCGGAAUUACUGGGCGUAAAGGGCGCGUAGGCGGCGACUCAAGUUAGAUGUGAAAGUCCUGGGCUUAACCUGGGGACUGCAUUUGAUACUGGGUUGCUUGAAUUCGGGAGAGGAUAGCGGAAUUCCCAGUGUAGAGGUGAAAUUCGUAGAUAUUGGGAAGAACACCGGUGGCGAAGGCGGCUAUCUGGACCGACAUUGACGCUGAGGCGCGAAAGCGUGGGGAGCAAACAGGG
rnacentral:rRNA from 1 species